rnacentral:tRNA from 11 species
UCACCGUAUAGUAGUUUUGAACUCCAGACAUCUGACAUGUGAGGCCAGCGCGUUACCAAUACUCCAUCCGACC